CCAAUAGCGUAUAUUAAAGUUGUUGCAGUUAAAAAGCUCGUAGUUGAAUUUCGGGGUUAGCAGGUCGGUCGUGCCAUCGGUAUGAACUGGUCUCGCUGAUCCCUCCCUCUUGACGAACUGUGAUGCCAUUAAUUUGGUGUCGCAGGGAAUCAGGACUGUUUCUUUGAAAAAAUUAGAGUGUUUAAAGCAGGCUCACGCUUGAAUACAUUAGCAUGGAAUAAUGAAAUAGGACGUUUGAUCCUAUUUUGUUGGUUUCUAGGAUUGACGUAAUGAUUAAUAGGGAUAGUUGGGGGCAUUAGUAUUCAAUUGUCAGAGGUGAAAUUCUUGGAUUUAUUGAAGACUAACUACUGCGAAAGCAUUUGCCAAGGAUGUUUUCAUUAAUCAAGAACGAAAGUUAGGGGAUCGAAGACGAUCAGAUACCGUCGUAGUCUUAACCAUAAACUAUGCCGACUAGGGAUCGGAUGAUGUUAAUUUUUUAAUGACUCAUUCGGCGCCUUACG
rnacentral:rRNA from 1 species